GAUUACCUCAGUAACGGCGAGUGAAGCGGUAAUAGCUCAAAUUUGAAAUCUGGCCUCUUGGGGUCCGAGUUGUAAUUUGUAGAGGAUGUUUUGGGUACCGCCCCGGUUUAAAUUUCUUGGAACAGAAUGUCAGAGAGGGUGAAAGUCCCGUCUUGGACCGGUGUAGGGCCUGUGUAAAACUCCUUCGACGAGUCGAGUUGUUUGGGAAUGCAGCUCAAAAUGGGUGGUAAAUUUCAUCUAAAGCUAAAUAUUGGCCAGAGACCGAUAGCGCACAAGUAGAGUGAUCGAAAGAUGAAAAGCACUUUGAAAAGAGAGUUAAAUAGUACGUGAAAUUGCUGAAAGGGAAGCGCUUAUGACCAGACUUGGGUUCGGUGAAUCAUCCGGCGUUCUCGCCGGUGCACUUUGCCGUCCCAGGCCAGCAUCAGUUCGCGCCGGGGGAUAAAGGUUUCGGGAACGUGGCUCCCUCGGGAGUGUUAUAGCCCGUUGCGUAAUACCCUGGCGUGGACUGAGGUCCGCGCUCUGCAAGGAUGCUG
rnacentral:rRNA from 1 species